GAUGAACGCUGGCGGCGUGCCUAAUACAUGCAAGUCGAGCGAACAGACGAGGAGCUUGCUCCUCUGACGUUAGCGGCGGACGGGUGAGUAACACGUGGAUAACCUACCUAUAAGACUGGGAUAACUUCGGGAAACCGGAGCUAAUACCGGAUAAUAUAUUGAACCGCAUGGUUCAAUAGUGAAAGACGGUUUUGCUGUCACUUAUAGAUGUAUCCGCGCCGCAUUAGCUAGUUGGUAAGGUAACGGCUUACCAAGGCAACGAUGCGUAGCCGACCUGAGAGGGUGAUCGGCCACACUGGAACUGAGACACGGUCCAGACUCCUACGGGAGGCAGCAGUAGGGGAUCUUCCGCAAUGGGCGAAAGCCUGACGGAGCAACGCCGCGUGAGUGAUGAAGGUCUUCGGAUCGUAAAACUCUGUUAUUAGGGAAGAACAAAUGUGUAAGUAACUAUGCACGUCUUGACGGUACCUAAUCAGAAAGCCACGGCUAACUACGUG
rnacentral:rRNA from 1 species